UAGGGAAUAUUGGACAAUGGGUGAGAGCCUGAUCCAGCCAUGCCGCGUGCAGGAAGAAGGCGUUAUGCGUUGUAUACUGCUUUUUGCCAGGGGAUAAAAAGACCGUGCGCGGUUAAUUGAAGGUACCUGGUGAAUAAGCCACGGCUAACUACGUGCCAGCAGCCGCGGUAAUACGUAGGUGGCAAGCGUUGUCCGGAUUUAUUGGGUUUAAAGGGUGCGUAGGUGGCCCUGUAAGUCAGUGGUGAAAUAUCUCAGCUUAACUGAGAGGGUGCCAUUGAUACUGCAGGGCUUGAGUACAGAUGAGGUAGGCGGAAUUGACGGUGUAGCGGUGAAAUGCAUAGAUAUCGUCAAGAACACCGAUAGCGAAGGCAGCUUACCAAGCUGUAACUGACACUGAGGCGCGAAAGCUAGGGUAGCAAACGGGAUUAGAUACCCCAGUAGUCCCUGAGCGGGCUGGCAAGGCGCAU
rnacentral:rRNA from 1 species